UAAAAAAGUUCUUCUAGCGACAGGUUUUCCCUGUGAUCUGCAGAGUACAAAGAAAUACAUCUGAGAUCAUCGUGAAAGCCAGUUGUUUCCAAGAACUCCU
rnacentral:pre_miRNA from 14 species